GUGGGGAAUAUUGGACAAUGGGCGAAAGCCUGAUCCAGCCAUGCCGCGUGUGUGAAGAAGGUCUUCGGAUUGUAAAGCACUUUAAGUUGGGAGGAAGGGCAGUAAGUUAAUACCUUGCUGUUUUGACGUUACCGACAGAAUAAGCACCGGCUAACUUCGUGCCAGCAGCCGCGGUAAUACGAAGGGUGCAAGCGUUAAUCGGAAUUACUGGGCGUAAAGCGCGCGUAGGUGGUUCAGCAAGUUGGAGGUGAAAUCCCCGGGCUCAACCUGGGAACUGCCUCCAAAACUGCUGGGCUAGAGUACGGUAGAGGGUAGUGGAAUUUCCUGUGUAGCGGUGAAAUGCGUAGAUAUAGGAAGGAACACCAGUGGCGAAGGCGACUACCUGGACUGAUACUGACACUGAGGUGCGAAAGCGUGGGGAGCAAACAGGAUUAGAAACCCUGGUAGUCC
rnacentral:rRNA from 1 species